rfam:Bacilli bacterium VT-13-104 contig005, whole genome shotgun sequence.
UAACCGAACAUGCGAAUGUUCGCUGAACUAUCAGAAAUCAGCAGAAGCCAUAGUACUAGAUACUUCUAGAAUAUCUAGGAAGGGC